UUUCUUUUCUUUUCUUUUUGUGUAUAUAGAGAAAGGAAGAACACAAAGUUACGGAACGAAACUUCAGCUUGAACUAUAGCAUUAAAUAAGGUAGCGAAACGAAGACCCACGUGAUCAAUAGCUUAAAAAUAUAUUGCUGCACAGAAACUUUUUUCCCCGCUAGAGAAGAUGCGCAUUCGAGGUCUAGAAGACAGACUUGGCUUAGCUAGAGAAGAUUUUUAUGAUAUGGAGUUUUGUUAGCCCAAUAAUUUGUUUAUUCGAGGUCUAAUAUGAUGAUGUUAUUCUGCAUUAUAUUUUCAUAUAUCCUUUAUGUAAAAAAAAAAAUUAUAAUUAAACUUUAGAGUCCAAGUUCCAGCCUUGGAUAAUAAACAACUAUUGUAUCAUAAAUAAUACAUUUAUUAUUAUACUAUUAAUUAUUAUAAAAUUUAAUGAAUAAAUCCUAUGU
rnacentral:lncRNA from 1 species